rnacentral:lncRNA from 1 species
GGUGUGACAAACCAUUGUUCCUUCUUCUGCUAGAGGCUUCUGAGGAAGAUGUCCUUCCAUGAAAUUCUGACUUUCAUGUUUCAGUUCCAGCUUCAUCGUUGGGAGUGGAGAUGAAAGUGCUCUGCCAAACCUGUACAUGAUGGGGUUUCUUCCGGCACAAGAUGGGAUCUUCCGAGUCUGGGUUCUCCUCUUGAACCACUGCAAG